AUCACUUCUCGGCCUUUUGGCUAAGAUCAAGUGUAGUAUCUGUUCUUAUCAGUUUAAUGGUUAUCUCUUACCUCUCAUCAAAGUUUAAAAAAAAAGGGAGUGUAUGUGAGAAUCAUAUCAGGCUUUGAAAAUUAU
rnacentral:snRNA from 1 species